rnacentral:rRNA from 1 species
AUUGAACGCUGGCGGAAUGCUUUACACAUGCAAGUCGAACGGUAGAGGGGGCAACCCCCUCGAGAGUGGCGAACGGGUGAGCAAUAUAUCGGAACGUGCCCAGUCGUGGGGGAUAACGUAGCGAAAGUUACGCUAAUACCGCAUACGAUCUACGGAUGAAAGCGGGGGACUCGCAAGAGCCUCGCGCGAUUGGAGCGGCCGAUAUCAGAUUAGGUAGUUGGUGGGGUAAAGGCUCACCAAGCCAACGAUCUGUAGCUGGUCUGAGAGGACGACCAGCCACACUGGGACUGAGACACGGCCCAGACUCCUACGGGAGGCAGCAGUGGGGAAUUUUGGACAAUGGACGCAAGUCUGAUCCAGCAAUGCCGCGUGCAGGACGAAGGCCUUCGGGUUGUAACUGCUUUGUACAGAACGAAAAGGCUCUGGUUAAUACCUGGGGCUCAUGACGGUACGUGUAAGAAUAAGCACGGCUAACUACGUGCCAGCAGCCGACGGG